rnacentral:rRNA from 1 species
AGUGAACGCUGGCGGUAGGCCUAACACAUGCAAGUCGAACGGCAGCACAGUAAGAGCUUGCUCUUACGGGUGGCGAGUGGCGGACGGGUGAGGAAUACAUCGGAAUCUACUUUUUCGUGGGGGAUAACGUAGGGAAACUUACGCUAAUACCGCAUACGACCUACGGGUGAAAGCAGGGGAUCUUCGGACCUUUCGUGAUUGAAUGAGCCGAUGUCGCAGUAGCUAGUUGGCGUGGUAAAGGCACACCAAGGCGACGAUACGUAGCUGAUCUGAGAGGAUGUGCGCCGACACUGUGAAUGAGACACGCGCCACAGUCCUACGGGAGGGACCGGUGUGGAAAAUUUCGCAAUGGGGGAGAGACUGACAUAGCAACACAGCGCGAGGGAGGAAGGGCUCCGGGUGGUAAAAAUCUCUUUUGUGGGAAGAAAAAAUGAGCAAGUAACUACGCCCGUGUUGACGGUACCCAAAAAGAAAGCCCCGGCUAACUACGUG